GCUCCCUGGUGUGAGUUUGACCUCAUCCCCUCUCUGUUUUUGCAUUUUGGGUGGGAAGCUCUCUAGACCUGGAGGAAGCCACGGACAUGGGCUGCUUUGUGACUUAUGAUUUCUCUGUUAGGGAUUUGCCUCUUUAAAGUGGUGAGUGAGUUGCCAAUAAAACAAUAGAAUUAAAUCAAUAAUUUGUCCAUUGAAAUGAAAACCACUGUGAGAGGAGCAAACAGGAGUGUAAGGAGAGAGCGAUUCAAAUGACAGAGGAGGCCGUUGCUUUAGAUGACUCUGGUAGAUGGUACUGAAGCUGUGAAUGAAAGAUGAGAAGCAGGCAGACAUGUGAAGGGUUGAGGAAGCAGAGUCCCAGGCAGCAGCCACGGCAAAUGCUAACCUCUGCAAGCUUGGUGCACUCGCAGAACCGGAAGGAGGCCGGUUGGCUGGAGCAACGUAAACCACGGAGUGACCCCAAAAGGGGCUAAGGAUGGAGUGAGUUUGAGCCCUUUUGAUGUGCCAUGGGAGGGCAUGGUAAGAUUUUCAUCCUUAAAGCCUUUCCCAAGGGUUUUUCAGUGGGAGAGAUGCAUGAUCUAAUUGCUGCUGAUCAAGAUUGCUGGGGCUUCUCUGCGGAGCAAGGACUACAGGGGAAGAGAGUGGAAGCAGGUGGUGGCUGGUGAGUGAAGUCCAGAGGGAGAUAAAAGCACAUCAGGACCGCGGGUGAGCUCUCAACCCUGGAAACCUCAGAUCCUACUUGACUGGUUCUUGCAGUUGAGAGCAUGGACUGUAGGCCAACUUUGAGGUCCCUGUGGGUGUCACAGUGCUCAUCAGCUGGAUGGCAGCGUCCCACCCCAGGUACCUGUGCUGUGCACUGCCUGGAAGCCUUUCCUCUGCACCGAGGCAUCCGAAUAAAAUCUGAGAAACAGACUACUGCCCGAAGCCACCAAGGGAUCCGGUUUCUUGCUGCCACAGAAACGGCCCAGGAUGGGGGCCAGGCUGUUGGGCCCGUCGUACAUUUCCAGAUGAGGAAAUGGAGACUCAGAGCUGUCAGAUGACUUGCACAAGGUCACACACUGGCAGAGUUGGGCCAUGAUAUGGCGCUCUGAUGUCAGAGACGCUGCUGUUGACCUGUGCACUCUGCUGCACGAUCCUUCAGUACCAAUGACACAGGUGAGGUUGUAUGAGGUGCAUGCUGCUCCAGGCAGCAUCCUUAUGGUGGCUGCCACUGUUUAUUCCAUGCCAAGCAUUUACGGACAUUUUCUCACUUUCUUCUGGUGAUGCUGUGAAGGAAGAGCUAUUAUUUCCAACAUGUAGAAGGGGAAAGUGAGUCUUAGAGAAGCUGGCUGGCCUGCCCAAGCUCACACAGCUGGAGACAGAUGAAACUGAAUUUGACCCCAGCCAGCCUUCUCCAGCCCCCACUGCUAUCCAUCGCCAGGUUAUCCUGCCUCACUUCUCCCUGUUCCCCCUAAGGACUGCCCCCUAGCACUGGCCAGGGGAGCCCCACCAUUCCAGGCUUUUUAGCCCUGAAUGCAGGCUUCUCAGGUGCUGGGUAGGUGGCCGACUGAUGGCAGUCCCAGCGUCAAUGGAGAUGGGAUAAGGUGAGCGGGGACAGUGUUAGAUGAAGACUUGGACCAAAUGACAGAGCAGGGAGAUAGGACAUUAGUUAGGGGGUCGCAAUUCAAAAGAGCGGGGCCAGCCUGGCAGUGCAGAGAUGGAGGUUGGGAGGGGGACACAGGACCACCGCGGCAAUGCAGGCUUUCAGAGGAAUGACUCUGACGCACUACCUACCGCACUUGGGCAGAGCUCUUCCGCCUGUGAGAUAGGGAGCGCUGGGGCCAGGGUGGUGGGUAGAUACAUGGGGCAGGGGAGCGGUGGCACCAGGACAGCCAUGCAGUGGGAGGGAGCCUUAGGACAACAGGGAGGGAGCUCCCUGUCACCAUCCCCAUGCAGUGAACACCACCAGCUUCCUUGAGAAAUGUUCAACUCACAUUCUAUGGUAGCAAAAAGAGCUCAAUCAAUAUAUCCACCAACCAUUUCCCAAGGAAACGCCUUUUGGAAUCCACCACUUUUAUGUAGGAGCCUCAGGCAAACGCUUCCCGUGUGCGUUUGCGCGCUCCCAACGCCAGAGGGCGCCAACCCCGCGGUCCUCGGGGCUCUACGUUGCCAUCGCGAACAUUUCCUAGCAGAUGGUGGUCUUGGAGAAGCAGUGCCUUUCCCUAAGGCGCUCUCCAGCGUAUCAUCACCUAGAUUCAAGGCUGACCCUGGACAGCUGCUCUUAGCACAGCGGCAGUAUCCCCAGCAUGUGAGCACUCCGUGGUCAGAGGCCCUGUCUUCACCCCUCGACGCCUUGGGGGCCCAUUCGCCUUUUCUGCUUCUAACUCAUGGCUCUCACCAACAAACAUCCUGCAAGUCCCUGCGCCCUAGUCCAUUGAUCAUGGCUUCCCCCUCUCAGUUCUCCUUCACUGUCCCUAACUUAUCUGUCCACAGUUCAGAGGGCUAAUCCUACUCACCUCUACAGUCAGAAAACCCCAUUUAAAAAAAUGUCCGUCUGUUGGAAGUACAAUACAUUCUCCAACUGGCAAAAGGGUGUCUUUAUUCUCCAAAAUGUGGGAGUCCCUGGAGGCUGACAAAUGAGACUCCUAGGAGAUUCAACUCUCCUUUGAAAUAACUGAGCUUGGUGUGCACACCACAUGCCAUAUAUGUGAAAAAGAUUUUAAAUAAAGGCUUGGGGAAAAAAAUUUUUUAAUUUAUCUGGAUGUGGUGGCUCACGCCUGUAAUCCCAGCACUUUAGGAGGCCGAGGCGGGUGGACCACGAGGUCAGGAGAUUGAGACCAUCCUGGCUAACAUGGUGAAAUCCCGUCUCUACUAAAAAUAUAAAAAUUAGCUGGGUGUGGUGGCGGCCGCCUGUAAUUGCAGCUACUGAGGAGGCUGAGGCAGGUGAAUUGCUUGAACCCAGGAGGCAGAGGUUGCAGUGAGCCAAGAUCGUGUCACUGCAUUCCAGCCUGGCAACAGAGCGAGACUACUUCUAAAAAAAAAAAAAAAAUUUAUUCAAGAGGGAAUUUGCAUAAAGAAUUUAGUUUCCUAUUACUAAUGGGAAAAAAAGUAAGUUGUGGAAAAAAGAUGAAUAGGAUUUUAUUAGAGGAAUUUGAGUAAUAAAAACAUAUAUUUCCCUGUAUAUUGACAGUCAUGAUUGUGCACAGAAAAUUUCUGGAAGUAUCCACAAGAAUAUGUUUAGCAUGGUCAUUUCUAGAGUGGGAAUGAGAGCUCUGGGGUCUUCUGAUUUCUAUUUCCAACCUCCUGUACUGAUUCCUUUUUAAAAUCAUGAGUCUGUAUUGUCUUGUAAAAAAUUAAAACUGGAAACAAGUGAAUCUGAAACGGCACUGCAGAUGUGGGUGGUGAUGCCGCCCCCUGCUGGUCCCGCUGUGCCCAGGUGUGAACGAUAGAGCUUUUUUUUUUUUUGAGGAGUUUUGCUCUUGUUACCCAGGCUGGAGUGCAAUGGCGCGAUCUCGGCUCACCGCAACCUCCGCCUCCUGGGUUCAGGCAAUUCUCCUGCCUCAGCCUCCUGAGUAACCGGAAUUACAGGCACAUGCCACCAUGCCCAGCUAAUUUUUUGUAUUUUUAGUAGAGACGGGGUUUCACCAUGUUGAUCAGGAUGGUCUUGAUCUAUUGACCUCAUGAUCCACCCGCCUCGGCCUCCCAAAGUGCUGGGAUUACAGGCUUGAGCCACCACACCCGUCCGAUAGAGCUUUUGUGCAUUGUCUCUGACUCUGCACAACAGCCCCAUGAAGUAGGCUUCAUUAGUAUCCAUGUGUUCCAGAUAAUGAAACUGAGACCUGGACAUGUUGAGUAACCUCCCCCAAGUUACAGAGCGGAGUCAAACCCACAUAUGAUACCCAAAUCCGCAUUUUCAAUAAACUACAAAAAUGACUCACGAGUUUCACCCUGUGGCCUGCAGUCGAAGAGAUGUUCCAGGUGCACUCCCUCCGGCUGGGGUAUUUGUCAGGCCAGUUGGGACUCGCCAGGGUCCCCUCUGCACUGCUAAUCUUGUGUGCACAGCCAGCUGGGGAUGGUGGGGGACACAUACAGAAAGAGAAGUUAUUCACUAUGGGCAGCAUGAGAGACAUUCUAGGGGGGUCUCCUCCCCUCCUAACUGUCUCAGGGUCCCUUAUCAAAUGUGGGGGUGGGGCAUCCUGACUCACGUGUCUCCUGGCUCCGGGAUGUGCAGGUUUCCUUGCACUGGCUUUUUUGCCUUCCUGGCUGUGGCUUGGGAGCCAUGCUAUCUUUCUAUUCCUAGCCACAUUGCAGUUAUCCUUGCAACUAUGUUAAAAGCACUGGCA